rnacentral:rRNA from 1 species
GUUAAGCGACUAAGCGUACACGGUGGAUGCCCUGGCAGUCAGAGGCGAUGAAGGACGUGCUAAUCUGCGAUAAGCGUCGGUAAGGUGAUAUGAACCGUUAUAACCGGCGAUUUCCGAAUGGGGAAACCCAGUGUGUUUCGACACACUAUCAUUAACUGAAUCCAUAGGUUAAUGAGGCGAACCGGGGGAACUGAAACAUCUAAGUACCCCGAGGAAAAGAAAUCAACCGAGAUUCCCCCAGUAGCGGCGAGCGAACGGGGAGCAGCCCAGAGCCUGAAUCAGUGUGUGUGUUAGUGGAAGCGUCUGGAAAGGCGCGCGAUACAGGGUGACAGCCCCGUACACAAAAAUGCACAUGCUGUGAGCUCGAUGAGUAGGGCGGGACACGUGGUAUCCUGUCUGAAUAUGGGGGGACCAUCCUCCAAGGCUAAAUACUCCUGACUGACCGAUAGUGAACCAGUACCGUGAGGGAAAGGCGAAAAGAACCCCGGCGAGGGGAGUGAAAAAGAACCUGAAACCGUGUACGUACAAGCAGUGGGAGCACGCUUAGGCGUGUGACUGCGUACCUUUUGUAUAAUGGGUCAGCGACUUAUAUUCUGUAGCAAGGUUAACCGAAUAGGGGAGCCGAAGGGAAACCGAGUCUUAACUGGGCGUUAAGUUG